GCGUCAUAGAGGGUGAGAAUCCCGUAUAUGGCACGGACUCCCGUUACUCUGUGAUACACUCUCAACGAGUCGAGUUGUUUGGGAAUGCAGCUCCAAAUGGGUGGUAAAUGCCAUCUAAAGCUAAAUAUUGGCGAGAGACCGAUAGCAAACAAGUACCGUGAGGGAAAGAUGAAAAGCACUUUGGAAAGAGAGUGAAACAGUACGUGAAAUUGUUGAAAGGGAAACGCUUGAAGUCAGUCGUGCCCUUUGGGAUUCAGCCUUGCUUCUGCUUGGUUUACUUCCCUUUGGGUGGGUCAACAUCAGUUUGAAUCGGAGGAGAAAGACUUGGGGAAGGUGGCAGCAUUCGUGCUGUGUUAUAGCCCCUUGUGGUAUACUUCGAUUUGGACUGAGGACCGCAGCACGCCUUUGGCCGGGGCUCGCCCACGUACGUGCUUAGGAUGUUGGCACAAUGGCUUUAAGCGACCCGUCUUGAAACACGGACCAAGGAGUCUAACAUGUGCGCGAGUGUUUGAGUGUUAAACUCAGACGCGAAAUGAAAGUGAAAGGUUGGGAACACUUAUGUGUGCACCGACGCCCGGAGCUGACCUUCUGUGACGCUUCUGCGGUAGAGCGUAUAUGUUGGGACCCGAAAGAUGGUGAACUAUGCCUGAAUAGGGUGAAGCCAGAGGAAACUCUGGUGGAGGCUCGUAGCGAUUCUGACGUGCAAAUCGAUCGUCAAAUUUGGGUAUAGGGGCGAAAGACUAAUCGAACCAUCUAGUAGCUGGUUCCUUCCGAAGU
rnacentral:rRNA from 1 species